rnacentral:rRNA from 1 species
AUUGAACGCUGGCGGCAUGCCUUACACAUGCAAGUCGAACGGUAACGGGCCUUCGGGUGCCGACGAGUGGCGAACGGGUGAGUAAUGCAUCGGAACGUACCUUUCAGUGGGGGAUAACGUAGCGAAAGUUACGCUAAUACCGCAUAUUCUGUGAGCAGGAAAGCAGGGGAUCGUAAGACCUUGCGCUGAUUGAGCGGCCGAUGUCAGAUUAGCUAGUUGGUGAGGUAAAGGCUCACCAAGGCGACGAUCUGUAGCGGGUCUGAGAGGAUGAUCCGCCACACUGGAACUGAGACACGGUCCAGACUCCUACGGGAGGCAGCAGUGGGGAAUUUUGGACAAUGGGGGCAACCCUGAUCCAGCCAUGCCGCGUGAGUGAAGAAGGCCUUCGGGUUGUAAAGCUCUUUCGGCCGGGAAGAAAUCGCAUGGGCUAAUACCCUGUGCGGAUGACGGUACCGGCAUAAGAAGCACCGGCUAACUACGUGCCAACAGCCGCGGUAACAC